AUAACGUCUUCUUUUAGUCAGCAAACACGCCUUCACUCCUCCUCUGUUAAUGCGUCUCCCACGAGGCAUUUACGAUGCUGGAGGGCAAUCUCUUACCCAGAGGAAUGAAAGCCUUCUUGAAAAUGACCUACACAUGAAAAAGUAAAUUAUUGGAUCCAGGCAAACAUUACACGCAGACAAGAAAAGUGUAAUUUCUUUGCAGUAAUAUAGGAUUUUUUGUGCAGAUUCAUCUAAAAGCCUGUCUAAGUGACUAAAAGUAAAAGGAAUUCUGCACAAGUGAUAUGGUAGAAAGCAGGUAAAAAACACAGCCACAACAACCCUGAUGCUCUGGUUAUGUUUUCGCUUUCGGCUUGACUGACUUAUGAAUUGCCUGCUGGAUUUGUGGAUGUACCUGGAUAUGGCUAUGUAACAUCCGAUCAGAAUCACCAGCACGGCCACAAACAAGCAGCUGUUCACAUAGGUGACUGCCGUAUGCCAUUUGACCCCCAAAGGACUUUUAAGUUUUGAGCAGUCAUGGAUAUUGUCCUCUGUUGGCUGACCAUUUGUUAGGAUGAUGUUUGGCAAAGACAAAACAGCCAUGAUCACCCAAACACAAACAGAUAAAACCUUCGUGAAGGUUAUGCUGUACAUCCGAGAGUCCCCAAAUGGCUUGACCACCUUCAGAUAGCGAUCAAUGCUUAUCAGCCCAAGGAACACGAUGGAAGUAUACAUGUUUGCAUAAAACAAAACUGAAGUGUAUCUGCAGAGAAUAAACUUGAAGUACCAAGGUCCAAAUCCUGCAUCAUGGACUAUUCGAAAUGGAAAUGUCAGCGUCAUUAUGAGGUCUGCAACCACUAUGUUUUUGAGAUAGAAUAUGAAGCUGGUUUUAUUCCUAAUGUGGAAGAAGAUCCACACUGCUAAACCAUUCAGCAAGAUGCUUGCCACAAAUAUAAUGAGAUAAAGCACCGGCAAGACAAUUGUGUCAAAUUCAUUGUGAAGGGUGGUGUUCUUUCCUGGCCCGUCGCUCCUGUUGCCUGAAUUGUGACUCUCUUGGCCGUGCAGCUCGUUAUCUGUAGGAGAAGUGGGGAGAUAGGACUUCAGUGCUUGGCAAGCAUGCCCACAGGCUACUAGGUUCCCUUACAGACCCAACUUUUUGUUAUUUCAGGUGAACUUAAAGAUGUCAUCAAUGAUUUACAGAGUCAAGGUAGCACAUUGUUAAUGUUUUGAGUGGCCAAAGAAUUAGUGACCUUCUCUCACUACCCUGCCUCCCUCAUAUCAGGACCCUUGAGUAAAAAGUCCCAUUUCUGAUCCCCUUUGCCAGCCUUUUGAAAAUAAACAUACCAGUGUAAAUUA
ensembl:lncRNA novel transcript, antisense to GPR87